ACCUCGUUAUUUGCUUGAACGGCCGGUUGGCUCGUUUCGUUGAUCGGGGUCCGUAUUUUUUUUUAUCUUCCAUAGGAGACGAGCUUCAGAACCCUAACCUGGUUCUGCUUCCGCCAUAGCUACGUUCGCUGCUCGAUCCGAGGUGCAUCGAGUAAAACUGACCUCUACAGGGCAAGGGCUGUGAUCGCGCAGGGCGAGCGGCGAUGGGGAAAAAGAAGAAGCGACCUUCGAAGGUGUGGUGCUACUACUGCGACAGGGAGUUCGACGACGAGAAGAUCCUCGUCCAGCACCAGAAAGCCAAGCACUUCAAGUGCCAUGUAUGCCAAAAAAAACUAUCCACCGCUGGAGGCAUGGCCAUCCACGUCCUCCAGGUCCAUAAGGAGACUGUGACCAAGGUUCCUAAUGCUAUGGCUGACAGAGAUUCAACAGACAUUGAGAUUUAUGGUAUGCAAGGAAUUCCUCCUGAUAUCUUGGCAGCUCAUUAUGGGGAAGAUGAAGAUACAGUGGCAAAGACAGCUAAAGUGGAAGUUCCAUCUACUGGUUUUGUUGGCGGAGCAAUUCCUGGUGCAUUUGGCAUUAGAUUUCCUCCCCGACCUGUAUAUGCUGGCGUUCCUCCUGUUUAUAAUCCAGCCCUUCCAUUUCAGCAUCCAACAUGGCCUAUUCCAGCUAUUCGUCCAAAUCCUUGGUUUCCUUCACAAGUAUCUGUUCCAUUUCCCCCACCUGUUGUUGCUACACAGCAGCCCCUGUUUCCUAUCCAGAGUGCAACAACUCCUUUGGCCUCCACUUCUACCUCUGGACUCCCGACACCUCCUCAAGCUGAUCCGCCCACAGCUACACCGCUUUUGGUAUCUCAACCUCUAUUUCCAAUCAAUAGUCCAGCUGGUGUACCUGCAAAAUCAUCACCAACAAUCUCUUCAGCCUCCCCAACAAUGUUGAAAGGUGUAGCUGAUGCAAAUUCAGGAUUGCAUACUGCUAUAGAAGGUGGUUAUGCCACUCAAAACAAUCCAGGUGGUGUUUCAUAUGCAAACUCACAUAUGUAUGCUUCUGGUCCAAAUACUGGGAACCCUUCAAUUGGGCCACCUCCUGUGAUAUCAAAUAAACCCCCAGCUUCCCAUCCUACUACAACUGAGGUCUACUUGGCCUGGGAUGACGAGGCAAUGUCAAUGGAAGAAAGAAGAAUGUCCCGAACAAAGUAUCAGGUGCAUGAUGAAACUAGCCAGGUAAGUUAUUACUGGCUUCUGUUAUUCAUUCUGAUUUAUGCCAAAUAGAUUUGCAAUUAGGGUGCAGAUCCUGAAGGUAGGAACAAAAUGAAAACUUUUUUUUAAACUUCUUUAUGCUAUAUUUCAUGUUCUUAUUGUUGGGUUAAUCCCAUUCCAAUUUAAAUGGUACGCUCUAAUAUGUAUGAAUAAAGCUUUUAUGGACUACGACCCUUUGUAAUAAGUUUUCUUAUUAGGCAGUGUCAAUUUGAAGAGGAGCUUUGGCGCAACGGUAAAGUUGUUGCUUUGUGACCAAAAGGUCACGGAUUCGAAUCCUGAAAACAGUUUCUGGUAAAAAACAGGAUAAGGCUGCGUAUAAUAAAUCCUUCCCUGGAAUCCCACAUGGCGGGAGCUUUGUGUACCGGGCUAUCCUUUUUUUUUUAACUAGGUAGUGCCAAUUUAAUUUUGACCUUGGGAUGAGUAAGAAAAACAUAUCUUGAUUUCUUUCCAAUUCUUUGGAACCUCCAAAGUUUUCAAAUACCUUCUCACAUUAUUUCUCCUGCAAGUAAGUUUUACAAAACUAACAAGCUUGUGCUGCAAAUCAACGAGGGGUCGCAACCUAGCACCAGGCCUAUGCGAAAAUGCGUAUGUACCAAGUUCUGAUUUAGUUUUUGAUUUUCUGUGUUGUAUGUCUUAUCGUUAUUGCUUUUUAAUAAGUGUGGGGCUUGAGUGGGACAACAAGAAUUUCUUGUUUACUGUUUUUGAUCACAUUGGCGACCAGAAUUGGUUCAGAUGAACUCGAUUGAUGCGGCCAUAGACAGAAGGAUAUCUGAAAGCCAACUUGCUGGCCAUAUGACUUUCUAAACCCCAUGUUAUCGUGGGGAGUUAGCGAGAUUACUUGGCAUUCUCAGAACGGCUCAAAUCAUGGAGCUACAAGGUGUGUUUUCUAUCCAGUGUUAGAUGAUCAGAUUACUUGGAGGCUGAUUGGGUUUGUGCCUUCUGCAGGCAUUCAUAUGAAGGAUAUAGAUUCCAAUUUGAUGUCUAUAAUCUAGAAUAGGUUGUUGUUGAAAAGAUUGUUUCUGUUGUGAGUUCUUGAGUAAGGUGUCAAUUCUUAAAUUUAUCUAGUCAUCUUAUAUAUAAACCGCAGGUUAGGUGCUGAAAAUAUUUUGGAAUGGCUAGUAACUGUGAUUGUAAUACAUUUCUAAUUUUCCUUUUU